GUCCCCUUCGUCUAGUGGUUAGGACUCGGGAUUUUCGAUCCCGCAACAGGGGUUCGACUCCCCUAGGGGACG
rnacentral:tRNA from 1 species